rnacentral:rRNA from 1 species
GACGAACCGUGCGAACGUUAUUCGGAAUCACUGGGCUUAAAGGGCGCGUAGGCGGGCCACCAAGUCAGGGGUGAAAUCCCACGGCUCAACCGUGGAAGUGCCCUUGAUACUGGUGGCCUCGAGGGAGGCAGGGGCGUGCGGAACUUUGGGUGGAGCGGUGAAAUGCGUAGAUAUCUGGAGGAACACCGGUGGCGAAGGCGGCAUCCUGGACCAACACUGACACUGAGGAGCGAAAGCCAGGGGAGCAAACGGG